rnacentral:rRNA from 1 species
UACGUAGGGUGCAAGCGGUAAUCGGAAUUACUGGGCGUAAAGCGUGCGCAGGCGGUUUUGUAAGUCUGACGUGAAAUCCCCGGGCUCAACCUGGGAAUUGCGAUGGAGACUGCAAGGCUUGAAUCUGGCAGAGGGGGGUAGAAUUCCACGUGUAGCAGUGAAAUGCGUAGAGAUGUGGAGGAACACCGAUGGCGAAGGCAGCCCCCUGGGUCAAGAUUGACGCUCAUGCACGAAAGCGUGGGGAGCAAACAGG